rnacentral:rRNA from 1 species
GUGUCAGCAGCCGCGGUAAGACAGAGGUGGCAAGCGUUGUUCGGAAUCAUUGGGCUUAAAGCGUGUGUAGGCGGCGGCGUAAGUGUCGAGUGAAAUGCCAGUGCUCAACGCUGGAACGGCUCGGCAUACUGCGUCGCUUGAGGUCGGUAGAGGCGCCUGGAACUCUAGGUGGAGCGGUGAAAUGCGUAGAUAUCUAGAGGAACGCCUGAGGCGAAAGCGGGGCGCUGGGCCGAUUCUGACGCUGAGACACGAAAGCGUGGGGAGCAAACAGGAUUAGAAACCCUAGUAGUCC